AAGAAAUGGAGCAAACAGGUUUAAACAGAAAAAGAAUUAAACGUGAAAAACGAAACAAAAAGUGGAGUAUACUGGAUUUCUUGCAGGAAGCUCCAGAAGUAGACGCACCAACAGCUCAAAUUUUUUAUAAAAAGCUCAUUGAGAGCACAAAAAUAGACGCCACGAGGGAUCUAAUAAGGUGGAAAGUGCGGCACCUGAAGGCUUCAUACAAAAAAGCAAGCGAUUGGCAAAUAUUAACAGGAGCAGGCCCUCCAUGAGUCUGAUGCCGGGACGUCGAGUGUUGAAGGCAAAGUGUUGCAGAUGUGCCCACACUUUAAUCAGCUUAAAUAUAUUUUUGGGAAAAAAGCCACAAGUGAAUUACCUUUUGAAGUGGUUGAUAGUGGCAGUACCUCCAUAAUGAAUGAAAGCGCGGCCAGCCAAAUACUGGAAAUCACUUUUUCUGAUGAAAUUGCGUCUCCAAUUGACAUGCCAAUAUUGAAAAUCUACCACCAGGCAAUGGUAUGCGUAGGCAAAUGUUUAGAACGAAAAUGGAAUGGGAAAAAGAGAAACAUGAAAAAGAUCACGCUUUGAAUGAAAGAAGAUUGCAAGCAGAAAUUGAAAGAGGUAAAGCUGAAAUAAUAUUCAAGAACCGUGAAUUGGACUUAAAAAUCUUUGAAUUGGAAAAGGAUGAAAGAUUGAAAAAACUUCAACUUGAAAAGAAGGAACGCUUACAAAAGUUCGAAAUUGAAAUGAAAUAUAAGUAUUCCUCUCAACAGUAACUUUUCUGUACUUUAUUUAUCUUUAUUUAUUUAUCUCUGUACUUUAUUUAUCUUUGUAUUUUAAAAUAUGUAGUCCCAAUUACUGUUGAGAUGAAUACUUAUUUAAUACGGUUAUUGAUGUUUUACUAAGUAUCUUCUAUCAUUCAAAGCGUUAUCUUUUUCACGCUUGUCUUGUACUAAAUAACCAUUUAUUUU